rnacentral:rRNA from 1 species
AACGUAGGAGACAAACGUUAUCCGGAGUUACUGGGCGUAAAGGGCGUGUAGGCGGUCUGUUAAGUCUGGCGUGAAAGCUCCCGGCUAAACCGGGAGAGGUCGUUGGAUACUGGCAGGCUCGAGGACGGUAGAGGCGUGUGGAAUUCCGGGUGUAGUGGUGAAAUGCGUAGAGAUCCGGAGGAACACCAGUGGCGAAGGCGACACGCUGGGCCGUACCUGACGCUAAAGCGCGACAGCAUGGGGAGCAAACGGG